UACGUAGGGGGCAAGCGUUGUCCGGAUUUAUUGGGCGUAAAGGGCGCGUAGGCGGCCGAUCAAGUCGGGGGUGAAAGCCUGUGGCUCAACCACAGAAUUGCCUUCGAUACUGGUUGGCUUGAGACCGGAAGAGGUAAGUGGAACUGCGAGUGUAGAGGUGAAAUUCGUAGAUAUUCGCAAGAACACCAGUGGCGAAGGCGGCUUACUGGUCCGGUUCUGACGCUCAGGCGCGAUAGCGUGGGGAUCAAACAGG
rnacentral:rRNA from 1 species